rnacentral:rRNA from 1 species
GACGAACGCUGGCGGCGUGCCUAAUACAUGCAAGUCGAACGCAGUGGGGACGGGUGAGUAACACGUGGGUAACCUCCCAUCAGAGGGGAUAACACUUGGAAACAGGUGCUAAACCGAUACUGAUGGAUGGACCCGCGGUGCAUUAGCUAGUUGGUGCGGUAACGGCGCACCAAGGCCACGAUGCAUAGCCGACCGGAGAGGGUGAUCGGCCACAUUGGGACUGACAAACGGCCCAGACUCCUACGGGAGGCAGCAGUAGGGAAUCUUCGGCAAUGGUCGAAAGUCUGACCGAGCAAAGCCGCGGGAGUGAAGAAGGUUUUCGGAUCGUAAAGCUCUUUUGGUAGAGAAGCGGUAUCUAACCAGAAAGCCACGGCUAACUACGGGCCAGCCGCCGCGGUAAUUC